rnacentral:rRNA from 1 species
GGAGGGGUGCAAGCGUUAAUCGGAAUUACUGGGCGUAAAGCGCACGCAGGCGGUUUGUUAAGUCAGAUGUGAAAUCCCCGGGCUCAACCUGGGAACUGCAUCUGAUACUGGCAAGCUUGAGUCUCGUAGAGGGGGGUAGAAUUCCAGGUGUAGCGGUGAAAUGCGUAGAGAUCUGGAGGAAUACCGGUGGCGAAGGCGGCCCCCUGGACGAAGACUGACGCUCAGGUGCGAAAGCGUGGGGAGCAAACAGGAUUAGAUACCCUGGUAGUCCACGUCGUAAACGAUGUCGACUUGGAGGUUGUGCCCUUGAGGCGUGGCUUCCGGAGCUAACGCGUUAAGUCGACCGCCUGGGGAGUACGGCCGCAAGGUUA